rnacentral:rRNA from 1 species
AGCGUACACGGUGGAUGCCCUGGCAGUCAGAGGCGAUGAAGGGCGUGCUAAUCUGCGAUAAGCGCCGGUAAGGUGAUAUGAACCGUUAUAACCGGCGAUACCCGAAUGGGGAAACCCAGUGUGAUUCGUCACACUAUCAUUAACUGAAUCCAUAGGUUAAUGAGGCGAACCGGGGGAACUGAAACAUCUAAGUACCCCGAGGAAAAGAAAUCAACCGAGAUUCCCCCAGUAGCGGCGAGCGAACGGGGAGGAGCCCAGAGCCUGAAUCAGCAUGUGUGUUAGUGGAAGCGUCUGGAAAGGUGCGCGAUACAGGGUGACAGCCCCGUACACAAAAGCGCAUGUGCUGUGAGCUCGAUGAGUAGGGCGGGACACGUGGUAUCCUGUCUGAAUAUGGGGGGACCAUCCUCCAAGGCUAAAUACUCCUGACUGACCGAUAGUGAACCAGUACCGUGAGGGAAAGGCGAAAAGAACCCCGGCGAGGGGAGUGAAAAAGAACCUGAAACCGUGUACGUACAAGCAGUGGGAGCACCCUUCGGGGUGUGACUGCGUACCUUUUGUAUAAUGGGUCAGCGACUUAUAUUCUGUAGCAAGGUUAACCGUAUAGGGGAGCCGGAGGGAAACCGAGUCUUAACCGGGCGUUAAGUUGCAGGGUAUAGACCCGAAACCCGGUGAUCUAGCCAUGGGCAGGUUGAAGGUUGGGUAACACUAACUGGAGGACCGAACCGACUAAUGUUGAAAAAUUAGCGGAUGACCUGUGGCUGGGGGUGAAAGGCCAAUCAAACCGGGAGAUAGCUGGUUCUCCCCGAAAGCUAUUUAGGUAGCGCCUCGUGAAUUCAUCUCCGGGGGUAGAGCACUGUUUCGGCUAGGGGGCCAUCCCGGCUUACCAACCCGAUGCAAACUGCGAAUACCGGAGAAUGUUAUCACGGGAGACACACGGCGGGUGCUAACGUCCGUCGUGAAGAGGGAAACAACCCAGACCGCCAGCUAAGGUCCCAAAGUCAUGGUUAAGUGGGAAACGAUGUGGGAAGGCCCAGACAGCCAGGAUGUUGGCUUAGAAGCAGCCAUCAUUUAAAGAAAGCGUAAUAGCUCACUGGUCGAGUCGGCCUGCGCGGAAGAUGUAACGGGGCUAAACCAUGCACCGAAGCUGCGGCAGCGACGCUGAUGCGUUGUUGGGUAGGGGAGCGUUCUGUAAGCCUGUGAAGGUGUGUCGUGAGGCAUGCUGGAGGUAUCAGAAGUGCGAAUGCUGACAUAAGUAACGAUAAAGCGGGUGAAAAGCCCGCUCGCCGGAAGACCAAGGGUUCCUGUCCAACGUUAAUCGGGGCAGGGUGAGUCGACCCCUAAGGCGAGGCCGAAAGGCGUAGUCGAUGGGAAACGGGUUAAUAUUCCCGUACUUGGUGUUACUGCGAAGGGGGGACGGAGAAGGCUAUGUUGGCCGGGCGACGGUUGUCCCGGUUUAAGCGUGUAGGUGUGUGUUCCAGGUAAAUCCGGUUCACUUUAACACUGAGGCGUGACGACGAGGCACUACGGUGCUGAAGCAACAAAUGCCCUGCUUCCAGGAAAAGCCUCUAAGCAUCAGGUAACACGAAAUCGUACCCCAAACCGACACAGGUGGUCAGGUAGAGAAUACCAAGGCGCUUGAGAGAACUCGGGUGAAGGAACUAGGCAAAAUGGUGCCGUAACUUCGGGAGAAGGCACGCUGACACGUAGGUGAAGUGAUUUACUCAUGGAGCUGAAGUCAGUCGAAGAUACCAGCUGGCUGCAACUGUUUAUUAAAAACACAGCACUGUGCAAACACGAAAGUGGACGUAUACGGUGUGACGCCUGCCCGGUGCCGGAAGGUUAAUUGAUGGGGUCAGCGUAAGCGAAGCUCCUGAUCGAAGCCCCGGUAAACGGCGGCCGUAACUAUAACGGUCCUAAGGUAGCGAAAUUCCUUGUCGGGUAAGUUCCGACCUGCACGAAUGGCGUAAUGAUGGCCAGGCUGUCUCCACCCGAGACUCAGUGAAAUUGAACUCGCUGUGAAGAUGCAGUGUACCCGCGGCAAGACGGAAAGACCCCGUGAACCUUUACUAUAGCUUGACACUGAACAUUGAGCCUUGAUGUGUAGGAUAGGUGGGAGGCUUUGAAGUGUGGACGCCAGUCUGCAUGGAGCCGACCUUGAAAUACCACCCUUUAAUGUUUGAUGUUCUAACGUGGACCCGUAAUCCGGGUUGCGGACAGUGUCUGGUGGGUAGUUUGACUGGGGCGGUCUCCUCCUAAAGAGUAACGGAGGAGCACGAAGGUUGGCUAAUCCUGGUCGGACAUCAGGAGGUUAGUGCAAUGGCAUAAGCCAGCUUGACUGCGAGCGUGACGGCGCGAGCAGGUGCGAAAGCAGGUCAUAGUGAUCCGGUGGUUCUGAAUGGAAGGGCCAUCGCUCAACGGAUAAAAGGUACUCCGGGGAUAACAGGCUGAUACCGCCCAAGAGUUCAUAUCGACGGCGGUGUUUGGCACCUCGAUGUCGGCUCAUCACAUCCUGGGGCUGAAGUAGGUCCCAAGGGUAUGGCUGUUCGCCAUUUAAAGUGGUACGCGAGCUGGGUUUAGAACGUCGUGAGACAGUUCGGUCCCUAUCUGCCGUGGGCGCUGGAGAACUGAGGGGGGCUGCUCCUAGUACGAGAGGACCGGAGUGGACGCAUCACUGGUGUUCGGGUUGUCAUGCCAAUGGCACUGCCCGGUAGCUAAAUGCGGAAGAGAUAAGUGCUGAAAGCAUCUAAGCACGAAACUUGCCCCGAGAUGAGUUCU